UGGGUUUCUUUCAGAUGUUUAUUCUGUAGCUGCUGAUGAAGUUGGGAAAAUUUUUGUUAUUGCUGAUGAAAGGGCAGAUCUUAGCAAACCAGAGACAAUUCCUGUAACGUUGGUUGGCAUUCACACUGUUAUUGAUUGUGCCACAGGGCGCCCAGAAGAGCUUAUAAAGACGGUCAUUAAUCAUAUUUAGAGAAUGUCUUCAUCUGAUUUUGAAUCUCCGAAGAAAACAUCUAAAAAUACGCAAUCCCCUUCUUCUACUCGUGGUGUGAAAAGAAAGUGCAUUGGUGAAACAUCUAAAUGGAACAAGUGACUGUGGUGCAUUUGUGAUUGCUUUUGCUGAUCACAUAAUUCAUGACACCAUAAAUGGCAUAUCUCCUAAACUCAACAUUGCCAAUUAUCGUGAUGACCUUGUUGUUUGUCUUUACCAUCAUGCUAAAAAGAAGCAAGAGGAUGGGUACAAGACUGAUGUAGAGGAACCUGAAAAGCCUGAGAAAACGAAGAAGAAGACUGAUGUAGAGGAACCUGAAAAGCCCGAGAAGGAAAAGAAGAAGACUGAUGCAGAGGCACCUGAAAAGACUGAGAAGAAGAAAAAGAAGGAUGUUGAAGAGGCACCUAGAAAACUUGAGAAGAAGAAAAGGAAGGUUGUUCAAGAGGCACCUGAAAAACCCGAGAAGAAAAAGAUGUAGUAGUUUUAUAUUUUUUGUGUGAACAUAAAUUGAGUUCUUAUUCUUAAUGUCUCAGGCAGGCUCUUUGAGAUUUCAUACUUUGUUUCAA